rnacentral:tRNA from 1 species
GGCUAAUUUUUUGUAAUUUUGAAAAUUACUUUUGACUUUUGGUCGUUAGCUU